AGUAAAAAGGAAACGUGGGCGGUGAGAUGAGAUGAAGAGAGCGCCAUUUUCUUAUCCUUUCAAAUCUAUCCCAGGGAGUCAAAUGACCCAUCAAGAACAGCACUGUAUAUCAGAAAAACAAGCAGAAGCAAGAGAGGAAGAUUUUUAUUGACAGCCCAAGAAUGGCAUCAUCCUCAGUUCUUCCAUUUUCGUCAUCAUUCCGAAGUUGGUUCCAUCCUUGUUUGGCAUCAAAAAUUACCUUCACCAGAAGAACAAAUUCCUUAUCCAUUGUCACUCGCUCUAGUCUCUCCGACAACUCUGCUCUCCUCCAAGCAGCCAAGCACACCGUGGAUUCUUAUGUCAAAAGUGGUAUGGUGGUUGGAUUUGGAGCUGGUCAUGCUUCUGAUUUGGCCAUACAUUACUUGGGUCAGCAACUUAAGGCUGGUGCACUAAAAGAUAUAGUUGGCACACCCACAUGUGUUGGUAGUGCAAGUGUGGCAGCCAAGGUAGGCAUUCCCUUGGAACAAUAUGAGGGAAGCUCAAAAAUUGAUGUAGCAUUUAGUGAUGCUGAUGUUAUAGAGGAGGUGACACUUUCUGCCAUUAUAGGGCGUCGGAAAAUGAUGGGAGAGGAGUCAAUUAUUCAAGAAAAGGUCAGUCAGUUUAACUUAAUUUCUUGUGUCAGAUGCAGUGGUUACCUUUCCUUGCAGACUAUUCUUGGAGCUGCCGAAAAGCUUGUCUUCAUUGUCACUGAGAAGCAGUAUAGAAGUGAUCUGUAUGGAUCAAUCCCCGUUUUAAUACAAUCUUUUAACUGGAUGGAAACUGCUGAAGAGAUUGAUGAUCUAUUCCUUGGUGAUGCUGAGGUCUGGAGGAGACCAUCUGUAGGGUAUGCUGGCCCCCUUGGUGGUGACUUCCCAAUGGUGACAAAAGAAGGGCAUAAUGUGCUAGAUGUAAUAUUUACAUCCCCAAUCAUAAGCCUUGCUGAUGUAGCCAAUUGUCUUGAACAAGUUGAUGGUGUUGUAGAGCAUGGAAUUAUAUGCAGGAUUCCAUUGGUUCAGUUUGUGGAAUGUAAGACCAGCCAGUUGCAUGGAUAUCCACCAUACUGAGGAGAAAGAGAUGAACUGAAGCUCUGAAAGUAGCUGAUGGGAUUUGGCUGGAAAGUGUUGGGUUACUCAACAUGGUGGUUAGAGAGUUCUAUAGCUCAUUAUGCGGAGAUAUGGACCAGGCCAGGAACCAGGAUUUCUCACCAAGUGUACAUUCUUCUCCUCUGAGGUCUAAUAUAGUUACUUCUCUUGGUGCUGCCAUCUUGAUUGAUGAAGUUAAGGGAGCAAUUUUCCGUUUCUGUUCAUUCUCAAAUUCGCCCACUGGAUGGUGUUCACGCUAUCUUCUACCCAAGUUACCGGGAGGUUCUACGUAUGAUGAGAGAUUAAAAAUUUGUUAGAGAUGCAUUUGAUGGUCAACAGCUGUACUGCAGUCAUUGCUUCUGAGAACGGGCUGCGCAUUAUCGACAACAAUUUGAUUCUUGAAGCAGGGAGAGCUUAACUGAUAUAGUAGCUUGCUCCACACUCUCUGGCCCUUUAAUGAGAAAUCUAAUCAGAGUAAUCUUACAUUAGAAAUGAACAACAUUGGAAUUGCUGAUGAAACCUUAAAAACUCUACUAGAAGUUCUUCAAACCGUUGUCUGAAUGGUAGAUAUUGUUGAUGUAGUAUCUCUGAUUUUGUGGAAUUCUGGUAUAAAAUCUUGGGACAUGUUUGGCAGUUGCUAAGUUGCCGCUCUGACCACAUCAGUCAGCUGCGUCAUUGUCAUGUAGUAUAUUACUAUAUUCUUCUUCUCCAUUGAUGCUUCUUUUUCAACCUUAA